GGUAGGAUGGCUGAGUUUAAGCGGUGGCCUGUAGUCCCAAAGACAGAGGUUUGAGUCCUCUUCCUAUCA
rnacentral:tRNA from 1 species